GAUGAACGCUAGCGGCAGGCUUAAUACAUGCAAGUCGAGGGGCAGCAGUUUUGUAGCAAUACAGAAGCUGGCGACCGGCAAACGGGUGCGGAACACGUACGCAACCUUCCUUUAACUGGGAGAUAGCCCACCGAAAGGUGGAUUAAUAUCCCAUAAUAUAACUGAAUGGCAUCAUUUAGAUAUUAAAGCUCCGGCGGUUAAAGAUGGGCGUGCGUCUGAUUAGGUAGUUGGCGGGGUAACGGCCCACCAAGCCUUCGAUCAGUAGCUGAUGUAAGAACAUGAUCAGCCAAACGGGCACUGAGACACGGGCCCGACUCCUACGGGAGGCAGCAGUAAGGAAUGUUGGUCAAUGGACCCAAGUCUGAACCAGCCAUGCCGCGUGGAGGAUGAAGGCCCUCUGGGUUGUAAACUUCUUAUCUUUGGGACGAAACCCCUGUUUCUACGGGGACUGACGGUACCAGAGGAAUAAGCACCGGCUAACUCCGUGCCAGCCGCCGCCGUAA
rnacentral:rRNA from 1 species